rfam:Massilia sp. LC238 contig42, whole genome shotgun sequence.
UCGUGGGUGACUGCGAAUCUGGAGGAAGCCGGAAGCAAAGCGCUGGCCUGACGAACAGGAAGCGGAUAUGAGGCGACGCAGCCGGGUGAGAUGGCGUAAUUCAUCAAAGCCCAAUACUUGUACGGAAAGCUACGUCGUAUAUCCGACAGGCAUAAGCGUGAAGGUAGGUGCG